UACGUAGGGGGCAAGCGUUGUCCGGAUUUAUUGGGCGUAAAGAGCGUGUAGGCGGCUUUACAGGUCCGUUGUGAAAACUCGAGGCUCAACCUCGAGACGCCGGUGGAAACCGUAAAGCUAGAGUCCGGAAGAGGAGAGUGGAAUUCCUGGUGUAGCGGUGAAAUGCGCAGAUAUCAGGAGGAACACCCGUGGCGAAGGCGGCAUCCUGGACCAAGACUGACGCUGAGUGAGCGAAAGCCAGAGGAGCAAACGGG
rnacentral:rRNA from 1 species